rnacentral:misc_RNA from 1 species
GAUGAAGAACGUAGCGAAAUGCGAUAAGUAAUGUGAAUUGCAGAAUUCAGUGAAUCAUCGAAUCUUUGAACGCACAUUGCGCCCCCUGGUAUUCCGGGGGACAUGCCUGUUCGAGCGUCAUUUCAACCCUCAAGCUCUGCUUGGUAUUGAGUCCAUGUCAGCAAUGGCAGGCUCCAAAAUCAGUGGCGGCGCCGCUGGGUCCUGAACGUAGUAAUAUCUCUCGUUACAGGUGCUCGGCGUGCUUCUGCCAAAACCCCAAUUUUUCUAUGGUUGACCUCGGAUCAGGUAGGGAUACCCGCUGAACUUAAGCAUAUCAAUAAGCGGAGGA